rnacentral:lncRNA from 1 species
CCAAUAUGUUAAUUAAUUAAUCACAGGCAUGUUUCAAAGCAUUCUUCACACAUCAGGUGGGGCUCCUGGGCUAUUAUGAAAUGCCAAACUUCCCUUGGGGCUUUGAGGAUUGCACUUCUAAAUUCCUCAGAAGUUCAGGGAAGUAAAAGGGUAUGUUUUUGGUAUGAGUCACUGAAGUGAGGCUGGAGAUAAAGACUUCUUAUUUUGUUUUAUAUUAUGGAGGAGCAGAAACCACCAAGCAUCUCAGGAAGGAACAAAGUGGAAAGCAAAGAAGUAUUUUUCAAAACCUGUAAGCCUAUUUUUCUAGAGUCACUUAUCUUUUAAUUUAAAAUUAAUCUUAAUUUUGCUGAAGUCAACUUUACUUUCAAGUCUUUGGUAUAUAUCAGCCAACCUCCUCUCAAGUUCUGGGGAGAAACCCAUGGUUACCCUUUGUGCCAGCUCCUCAUGUAGUAAAGGGUGAGUGAACAUAAGUAGCUUUUGCCAUUCAGUACCAAAAACUUGCAAACAAUGAAUGAUUCCCUUUUGUUCUGCAAACAAAACACUAACAUUUAUGUCCAUGAGCCUACAAGGCUAGAUCUGUAGAUCUCCAUGAUGCUCCUUGACAACUAAAUUUUUUUUUUUUUUUUUGGUAGUAAAAGAGCAAUGCCUAUCAAAUAGUUUCAUUCCAUUUCAGUGGAGCUCUGAGUUGAGCAGGAAAUAUCACCAGACUUGAAGAAAGAAAAAUAAAAGAAUUAGCAGACUCGAUGACUAUAGGGAUUUCCUAUUAUUAGGGCUUUUUUUUUAAGCCACACUGCUGUAAAGUUGGUAUGUGCUGCAGGAGUGUAAUCUGCCCAGGGAAGCUCCUCAGCUCUGUAGCUGUGUGAUCAGCCCUGUGCUGUGAGUGCAAGGUAGCACCUGGAAGGUAUCAGCGAGAGAUUCAACAAGAGAGACUGACUAAUGGCCUGUGCCAGCCAGAGUCUGGAGUGUGUCAGGGGCCCAAAAACAGCCUCCCAAAGGACAAUAGUGCAAGCUCAGUGACUCACCCAAGUGGAGCAGAUGCUGCUUACCUACAUUUCUGCUUUGCCAGGAUGCUACUGGACACCACCACGUACUGAGGACAUGUUGAAGGGAUCAUCGGAGCAGCACUGAGGCCAAGCUCCAUGGCAGGAAUGCCAAGCUGCCACCCACGGCUCACCAUGAACCCCUAGCCAAAGCACCCAGGCUGGGAGCUGCUACCCUCAAUGGAAAACCGGGCAGGUUUCCACUUGGGUCUGCCUGGGCUGCACCACAAUUUUGUUGCAAGAGCACAUUUUUGGGAAAACUUCCAUUGAAAUUUUAAGACAAACGAAUGGAAAAUUUCCAUCUCUACCACUGACUAGACCUCUUAGCGUGUAGUUGCUGACUAGGUCUAAUGACUAUUAUGUCAGCCAUUGAGAACUAGCCGAGCAUGCCAAGGUUUACUGAAAAUUAACACCAGAGCCAGCUGCUUUGUGGCUUAUCUAGUUCUGCUGACCUUCUUUCAGAUAAAUGUUGUUUAACAUCAUCUUUGAUUACUUAUGGACUAGAG